rnacentral:lncRNA from 1 species
CCUCCUGCAGCUGCUGCUGGAAUAGUGAAAGUGUUGGUUUGAACCUCAGAAGGAAACAGACUCAUAAGCUACCCAUAUAAAUGUAAUCUAUAAAACAAUGGUUUUCACCCAUGAUCCUUUAAAAUAUAUAUUUUUAAGCUCUAACUCUUGAGAUUCUGAUUCUCCAGGCAGGGCCCCACUUUGUAGAUUUUUAGCACACUCUGGAGGAUUCUAUGGUGGGACCAGAACAAGGACCCCAAUUUUCUAGCUCUUGACUGGAGCCUCCCCAUACCCUGCAUGAUCCCUAGACCAUGGUCCCGGCCGGAUGGGGAUCCCACAACCCCCGGGGCUGCAACCGCUUGCCUGUGGCAGCAGGGGCUUGGCCCUCUCCACCUUUCUUUCUAGCUCCUUUAUGUUGAGCUGGAUCUCAGACUUUUGAGUCUCUUGAAGUCGAACUUUUUCUUCUAAUUUGAUAUUUUUCUCCUUCAGCUCCUCAUCGAUUAUGCUAUGGCCAGAGACAGUAGAGAAAGGAAUGAACGAAGAACAGAAAGGAACGCUUUGGUGACCAACCCUCUGCUUUCACCCCACAACCACAGAACCGUGGCAUUGGAUGGGACCCCAGGAAUUAAAAGUCCCAGGUGGCAGGCCAGAGAGAAGAUAUGAGUUGCCUGAGGCUACCCCAAAGAGGAAGACAGAGCUCUUACCAGGGGGAGGCAGAGAUGGCACAGCAAGGGACAUGCCCCCAGAAUGGCACCACUGCCCCAGGACAGGCCCACCCAUGGGACCAGGUCCCACAGUCCCCAAUCCCCUUCCAGCUGGAAACCUGUGCUAUAACCAGAGGAACCAGAAAUGGGCAAGAACACUCAGGGGACUGGGUCCUAAGACCAAAGACCAGUCUCGUGGCAGUAAUGACAGUUCCUAGAGGGACUGUGACAUCACUACAUUCCACUCCUCAGUGGAGUGGUGGGGAGGACACGUGAGUGCAAUGUCCAAGUUGCCGCUUUGAGAUUGGGGAGGGGGAGUCACAGGAUUGGGACCCAGGUCCUUGGAGAUGCAAGCCCAAAGAGCCCAGGGAGGUCAGGCUUUGGGUGGCGAGAGGUGAGGGCCGAGUAUGGAGCAGGAAGCCCCAGGAGUCACCUGUCCAAAGUGACCAUGGGGCAACUGGUGGGGGCAGGUUCUGGGGCACCCAGGUCCUUGGAGACGUGAGCCCAAAGAGCCCAAGGAGGUCGGGUUUGGGGUAGCAGGAGGUAAGGGCAGAGUAUGGAGUGGGAAGCCCUGGGAGUCACCAGCUCAAAGUCACCCUGGGGUGACUGGUGAGGGCAGGGGCAGGACUCACAAGGGGGUUGGGCUGGCUCACAAGAUUUGGGUGUGGGGAGCCCAGAGGCACUGGGUGGGGGUGGUCCCAGCCUGAUGUGCCUCAGCAGUGGCACAGACUCUGGCAGCAGCUUGACUGUCAGAGGGCACCUGGGGCUGGGUUGGGGUGCCGCAACCUGGUGCAUUUUACCUUUUCCUUGGCCUUGGCCAAUUUGAUCAGUGGGGUUUCUUCGGACCUCAUGGGAUGGGUAGGGCGGUGGGGUUGGGGCCACAUCAGCACAAUCCAGGCGAGGACAACUGUACACGUCCAGUCACCUUCCAGGUAGCUGUGUGACUGAGCCAGAGGAAGUGUAACCAGGGCCACACUAGAAUGCAGAAUAGGGGCGUGGCCUUAAUGCUUCAAGCCUAUUGGUCAGUGAGAAAGAUGCAAGGGAAAGGAGGCGUGGCCAGACAGCAGCGUGUCAUGACGGACCUCUGAUGUCACAAGGACAGCCACCCAUGCAACUGCUGUCCCCGCCCACUCCAGGAGAGGGGUGGGGCUGGCUUUCACUUUAAAAACUUUAAAACUUUAUUACCUCAAUUGAGGUACAAAUCCUUUUAAAAUGGAAAUUUUAUAGUGUGCUUGAUGAUUGAUAAAGCAGACUAUAUUAUCCAACAUUCCACUAA